rnacentral:tRNA from 1 species
CGGAGUGUGGCUCAGUCUGGUAGAGCACUGCGUUCGGGACGUAGGGGUCGCAGGUUCGAAUCCUGCCGCUCCGACCA